GGGACUUGUAGGCGUAGGCCCUAGUGUUUGCUGCAGCGUGGGUUGGCCUUCCUCGCCCUUGUCCCUUUACAGCCCCCUCGCUCUAAAUCUGCGCGUUCCGAGAGUACUUGAUUGUAAGAAUCGUCUGCUAGGCUGAUUGAAUGCAUAGAUUAACAGAUCCAGAAAUGAGGCACAGAGUUUGUUACCCUGAUCACCUAGCUAAAGGUGGAAGAGGAGGGGUUGAACUCAGGUUUCCUGAAUCCAAAUCUUGGCAAUGUUUAGCCUACGGUGUACUACAUUUUGCGAGCUAGCUGACAUCAAAGCACGGAACCUGAAUCAAAGAAAUUUGGACGAAGACAACUUUCUCAUCCAAGUGGCUGCCAGCACCCCCGCCCCAGCUGAAGCGUUCCCUUGUUCUCGCCUGCUCUGCCCCAGAUUCAUGGGCCGCACUCGGGAUCGUUGGCAGUUUUCUCUGCACUGUCCUGACAACCUCCGGCCAUGAAAUUAAAAAGCUAGUUACCGAA